GCUUGUCUCAAAGAUUAAGCCAUGCAUGUCUAAGUAUAAACGACUUUAUACAGUGAAACUGCGAAUGGCUCAUUAAAUCAGUUAUAGUUUAUUUGAUAAUACCUUACUACUUGGAUAACCGUGGUAAUUCUAGAGCUAAUACAUGCUACACAACCCGACUUCUGGAAGGGUGGUACUGAUUAGAUACAAAACCAAUCCGGGCAACCGGUUCACAGGUGAUUCAUAAUAACUUUGCGGAUCGCAUGGCCUUGUGCCGGCGAUGAAUCAUUCAAAUUUCUGCCCUAUCAACUUUCGAUGGUAAGGUAUUGGCCUACCAUGGUUACCACGGGUAACGGGGAAUUAGGGUUCGGUUCCGGAGAGGGGGCCUGAGAAAUGGCCACCACAUCCAAGGAAGGCAGCAGG
rnacentral:rRNA from 1 species